rnacentral:tRNA from 1 species
UAGCUCAGUGGUAAAGAAUCUGCCUGCAAUGCAGGAGACCUGGGUUCGAUUCCUGG